AACGCACAUUGCGCCCCUCGGUAUUCCGUGGGGCAUGCCUGUUCGAGCGUCAUUUCGAAACUCAAGCUCCUCUGCUUGGUGUUGGGCGUCUGUCCGCGCUCCCCGCGCGAGACUCGCCCCAAAGACAUUGGCAGCCAGGCCGUCCGACCCGCCCGCAGCACAUUGCGUCCGGCGAGUCGUCGCGGUCCCGGCGUCCAGCAAGCUCCUUCUCAGUUUUGACCUCGGAUCAGGUAGGGAUACCCGCUGAACUUAA
rnacentral:misc_RNA from 1 species